rnacentral:rRNA from 1 species
AACGAACGCUGGCGGCAGGCCUAACACAUGCAAGUCGAACGCCCUAGCAAUAGGGAGUGGCAGACGGGUGAGUAACGCGUGGGAACCUUCCCAGUGGUACGGAAUAACCCAUCGAAAGAUGGGCUAAUACCGUAUACGCCCGCAAGGGGAAAGAUUUAUCGCCAUUGGAUGGGCCCGCGUCGGAUUAGCUGGUUGGUAGGGUAACGGCCUACCAAGGCGACGAUCCGUAGCUGGUCUGAGAGGACGAUCAGCCACACUGGGACUGAGACACGGCCCAGACUCCUACGGGAGGCAGCAGUGGGGAAUAUUGGACAAUGGGCGCAAGCCUGAUCCAGCCAUGCCGCGUGAGUGACGAAGGCCUUAGGGUUGUAAAGCUCUUUUGGCGGGGACGAUAAUGACGGUACCCGCAGAAUAAGUCCCGGCUAACUUCGUGCCAGCAGCCGCCGUAAUAC